UGUAUGUGAGUUUUAUGUAUAUUUGCUUGUGUAAAAGGUUUUCCUUCUGUGAGAUCUGGUUCAGUAAAAGUUUAUUGCUCAGAAUCUUCCUCCUGCCUGACAAGGCAAGGCUUCUGGGCAAGAGAAAAGAAAGCCCUAGCAGUGAAUUCUUUACUUAGUCCUCUGCUGUUUUUGUUUUUUUGUUUGUUUUUUUGUUUUGGUUUUUCGAGACAGGGUUUCUCUGUUUAGCCCUGGCUGUCCUGGAACUCCCUUUGUAGACCAGGCUGGCCUCGAACUUAGAAAUCCACCUGCCUCUGCCUCUGCCUCUGCCUCUGCCUCUGCCUCUGCCUCUGCCUCUGCCUCUGCCUCUGCCUCUGCCUCUGCCUCUGCCUCUGCCUCCCGAGUGCUGGGAUUAAAGGCGUGCGCUACCACGCCUGACUCCUCUGCUGUUUUACCACAAGUGUUAAGGCCCAGAGGCCUGCAACUUCCGGCUUCAGAGUAGCUUAGACUCAAGACAGGUAAACAUUACUAUAGAAAGCAGCCUAAUCUUUCCCAAGACCAAGCCCUGCUCCUGCCCAUGCUUUUCCCCUCAGCUGCUUCAGAGAGGACCCAGCCUGGUGCUAAGUUCCUGACAAUUAGUAUUGAUAAUUAUUAAUGGGCAGUGUUUAUUGAUUCCUGAUAUUUUGCUGUUAUGGUAUGAGUGUUUUGCCCACUCUUUUGAUUUACUGGUCUGUGAUUGAUUGAUUGAUUGAUUGAUUGAGUCCUCUUGGGUGUAGUUAACCUCUUCAGACUGAAUGUUUCUUACUAGUGCCUUCUGUAAAGCUGGAUUGGAAAUUGUUGAAAGUUAGUUUUACUGUAGAAUAUUUGUCUUUUAUGUCUAUUGUGAUUGAUAGCUUUGCUGCGCAUAGUUGUCUGGGAUGGUAUCUGUGGUCUUUUUUAAUAUGUAGAACAUCUGUCCAGGCCCUUCUGGCUUUUAGAGUCUUCACUGAUAAGUGAGGGGUUAUUGUAAGAGGUCUCUCUUUCUAUGCUAUUUGGUCUCUUUCCUUUGAAAAUUUAAUAUUCAUAUUUUCUGUACAUUUAAUGUUUUGAUUAUUGCAUGUCACAAGGAGUUUGUUUUCUGAUCCUAAUUUGUAUUCUGUAUGCUUCUUGUAAUUUGAUAGGCACCUCCUUUAAAUUGGAUUUCAUUAAAUUAUGUACUUUUUUGGCUCUGUAUUUCUCCCAUUCCAGAGACAGCAACAUCUUUUCACACAUUGCCAGCCUGGUCCCUGAGACACAAUGGUGAAGGUUUAGAGUGAAUGGAUUUGACCAUAUUGAAUGCCUUCAACUCUGGCAAAGUGGAUAUUGUUGCCGUCAAUGAUCUCUUCAUUGACUGCAACUGCAAGGUUGACAUGUUUUAGUAUGACCGUACCCACAGUAAGUCCAACAGCCCAGUUGAGGUUGAGAAUGGAAAACUUGUCAAUGGGAAGGCCAUCUCCAUCUUCCAGGAGUAAGAUUAUACCAACAUCAAAUGGGGUAAUGUUGAUGCCAAGUAGGUUUUGGAGUCUACUGGUAUCUUCAACACCAUGGAAAAAAACAGAGGUCAUUUGAAGAGCUGAGCCAAAGAGUCAUCAUCUCUGCCCCUUCUGCUGAUGCCCCCAUGUUUGUGAUGAGCACGAACCGUAGAUUUAUGACUACUAACUCAUGAUUGUCAGCAAUGCCUCCUGCACCACUGUACCACCAACUCCUUUUGUCCCCGAUUAAUGUUACCCAUGACAACUUUGUAUCAGGGAGGGAUGCAUGGCCAUGAUCCCUGACAUUUCUGUCACCCAGAAUACUAUGGAUGGCUUCUCUGGAAAGCUGUGGCAUAAUACCUGUCAGACUGCCCUGAACAUCAUCUCUGCACCCAUUGGUGCUGUCAAGGCUAUGGAUAAUGUCAUUCCAGAGCUGAACUGGAAGGUCACUGGCAUGGCCUUCCGUGGGCUUACCCCCAAUUUGUUUAUUGUGGAUCUUACAUGCUUCCUGAAGAAAGUUGUAAAAUGAUGCCAUGUAAAAUGAUGUCAAGAAGGUUAGGUAAGGUGGCAUCAGAGAGCCCAUUAAAUGGCAUUGUGGGCCACACUUAGGACCAGGUUGUCUCCUGUGACUUUAACACUGAUGCUACUCUCCUACCAUUGAUUCUGGGGCUGGCAUUGCUCUCGGAGAUGACUUUGUAAAAACUCAUUUUCUGGUUUGAGAAUGAAUAUGAGUACAGCAACAGGGUGGUGGAGCUCACAGCCUACAUGGUCUCCCCACUGUAAGAAGCCCUGGACCACCCAUCCCAGCAAGAACACAAGAGAGAGACAGGCUGGUGGCUGCUGAGGAGGCCCUGUCCCACCCCUGAGCACCUCACUUCACCCCAGACUCCCAAAUGAGGCAGAGUGGGAUGCUUCUUCUCUUGAAUGCUAUCAAUAAAGUUCACAGAAACCCUAAAAAAAAAUUGUUUUCUGUGCCUUUGACCUGGAAUCUCCUCCUUCCUCUAUAACCACUACUCAUGGUUUGGUCUUUCACAGUAUCCCAGAUUUUCUGUGCCUAGAGUUUUUUGUUGUUGUUUUUUGUUUUGACAUUUUCUUUGACUAUGCUAUUUCUUCUACCUUGUCUUCAAGACCUGAAAUUCUCUCUUCCAUGCUG
rnacentral:lncRNA from 1 species